AUGACACAAGGUUUCAUGAAAGAGGGAUUUAGAUUUUUCUCUGCAUUUUUCGGUCCCCCCUCUGUAACAACUCUCUCCCCCUGUAACAAUUUGUUUCAGUAUUCUGUCAAUUCCCUCCCUGUCUGUAAUAAUUUCUUUGCCUCUGUAAACUGUAAUCUUCUUUGUUCUAUAAAUUCUAUCCCCCUCUCUACUGUCCUUAGUUGUUAG